GCAGAUAUCUGCCAGUGUCUUAGUUACUUUUCUACUGCCAUGACAAAGCACCAUGGCCCAGGCAACUUAUAAAAGAAAGCAGUUAAUUUGGAGGCUCUUGAUUCCAGGAAGUGAGUCCAUGACCAUCAUGGUGGGGAGCUGGGCAGCAAGCAGCCCCUCCUAACCCUUUUCAAACCAAUCCACCAACUGGAGACUGAGUAUUCAAACAAGAGCCUGUGGGGGCCAUUCUCAUUCCAAUCACCACAGACAGUAUUAAAGUUCCCUAUGGAGUUAAACCUGAAUUCAAAGAAGCUCCUUCCAGCAUCUUCGCCUAAGGUAGUUCACCUCUCCCCUGAAGAGCAAUCAUCAGUCCUUUUGUGUCUUACCGAUUGUACAAAAUGGCCAGUAUUUUUAAAAACAAGCAAAUGAUAGCAGAUACACGAGCUUGGUGUCACCUACCUGUAACAAACAAAUAAACCCAAACUUGAUAGCA